rnacentral:rRNA from 1 species
UUAAGCUACAAAGAGCGUAGGGUGAAUGCCUAGGUACCAAGAGCCGAAGAAGGACGUGACAAGCUGCGAAAAGCCACGGGGAAGAGCAAAUAUCUAGCGAGCCGUGGAUAUCCGAAUGAGGAAACUCACAUAGUGAAAAUAGACUAUGUAUUUAUAUGUAAGUAAAGUAGCAUAUAAAGGGGAACGUGGGGAACUGAAACAUCUUAGUACCCAUAGGAAAAGAAAGUAAAAACGAUUCCUAAAGUAGUGGCGAGCGAAAUAGGAAGAGCCCAAACCAAGAGUAGAAAUACCCUUGGGGUUCGGACUACAAUAAGUUAUCUAUAAUUCUAGUAGAAUUGUCUGGGAAGGCAAACCAUAGAAGGUGAGAGUCCAGUAUAUGAAAGGAAAGUAGAGACUAGUAGAAUCCAGAGUAGUGUGAGACACGAGAAAUCUUGCAUGAAAGAGCGGGGACCAUCCCGUAAGGCUAAAUACUACUUGGUAACCGAUAGAGAUGAGUACCGUGAGGGAAAGGUGAAAAGGACCCCGGGAGGGGAGUGAAAGAGAACCUGAAACCCUAUGUUUACAAGCAGAUAAAGCGAAUUAAGGCGCGAUAUCGUACUUUUUGUAGAACGGUCCAGCGAGUUAUUGUAUAUGGCGAGGUUAAGUUGUAAGUAAGCAACGAAGCCGGAGUGAAAGCGAGUCUGAAGAGGGCGUAAAAGUCAUAUGUAAUAGACCCGAAACCGGGUGACCUAUCCAUGGUCAGGAUGAAGCUAAAGUAAAAUUUAGUGGAGGUCCGAACUGAUUGUCGUUAAAAAGGCACCGGAUGAACUGUGGAUAGCGGAGAAAUUCCAAUCGAACUCGGAGAUAGCUGGUUCUCCUCGAAAUAGCUUUAGGGCUAGCCUUGAGGGAAGAUAUGUGGGGGUAGAGCACUGAAUGAGGUAGGGGCCUAACCAGGUUACUGAACUCUAUCAAACUGCGAAUACCAUGUAUUAAUACUCAGGAGUCAGACUACGGGAGCUAAGUUCCGUGGUCAAAAGGGAAAGAGCCCAGACCGACAAUUAAGGUCCCAAAGAUAUAGUUAAGUGGGAAACGAUGUGAAUUUGCGUAAACAACCAGGAUGUUGGCUCAGAAGCAGCCAUUCAUUCAAAGAGUGCGUAACAGCUCACUGGUCGAGUGAAUUUGCGCGGAAAAUUACCGGGGCUAAACUAUACACCGAAAUUACGGAUUUGUAAAUGAAAAUUUAUAAGUGGUAGAGGAGCAUUCUGUGGUAGGGCGAAGCUAAAGCGAGAGCAUUAGUGGACGAAGCAGAAGAGAGAAUGCUGGAAUAAGUAGCGAGAGCGAGGUGAGAAUCCUUGCCGUCGAAAGUCUAAGGUUUCCUGGGGAAGGUUCGUCCGCCCAGGGUAAGUCGGGACCUAAGGAGAGGCCGAAAGGCGUAUCUGAUGGAUAGCAGGUGGAAAUUCCUGCACUAUAGCCAUACUUAAAAGAUGCAAGGGACGCAGGAGAGGAAGAUAACCGAGGAAGAGGAAAAACUCGGAUCGAAAGAUGGAGUGAAAAUAGAAGUAACGAAGUAUCAAGAAUCACACUGACGAGAAAAGCUUGUAGAGAUUGUAUGGAAAUACCCGUACCGCAAACCGACACAGGUAGAUGAGGAGAGGAUCCUAAGACGAACGGGAGAAGCAUUGUUAAGGAACUCGGCAAAAUAACCCCGUAACUUCGGGAGAAGGGGAGCCUAUGUAAAAGUAGGCCGCAGUGAAAAGGCCCAAGCAACUGUUUAACAAAAACACAGGUUUCUGCUAAAUCGAAAGAUGAAGUAUAGGAGCUGACGCCUGCCCAGUGCUGGAAGGUUAAGGGGAAAUGUUAGGAGCAAUCCGAAGCAUAGAACUGAAGCCCCAGUGAACGGCGGCCGUAACUAUAACGGUCCUAAGGUAGCGAAAUUCCUUGUCAGGUAAGUUCUGACCCGCACGAAAGGCGUAAUGAUUUGGGCACUGUCUCGACAAUGUACCCGGCGAAAUUGUAGUACUAGUGAAGAUGCUAGUUACCUGCGACAAGACAGAAAGACCCCAUGGAGCUUUACUGCAGUUUGAUACUGGGUUUUGAUAAACUAUGUACAGGAUAGGUGGGAGACUAAGAAAGCAAGGCGUCAGCUUUGCUGGAGUCACCGUUGGGAUACCACUCUUAGUUUGUUGAAAUUCUAACUAGUGGUCAUGACCUGGCCAGAG